rnacentral:rRNA from 1 species
CCUAGGGUUGCAGCAGUAGGGAAUAUUGCUUAAUGGGCGAAAGCCUGAAGCAGCAACGCCGCGUGUACGAUGAAGGCCUUCGGGUUGUAAAGUACUUUUUGCAGGGAUGAGGAAGGACAGUACCUGCAGAAUAAGCCUCGGCUAACUACGUGCCAGCAGCCGCGGUAAAACAUAGGAGGCGAGCGUUAUCCGGAUUUACUGGGCGUAAAGCGCGUGUAGGCGGAUUGGUAAGUUAGCUGUGAAAGCUCCCGGCUUAACUGGGAGAGGUCGGUUAAUACUGUCAGUCUAGAGUAUGUGAGAGGGAAGUGGAAUUCCGGGUGUAGUGGUGAAAUGCGUAGAUAUCCGGAGGAACACCAGAGGCGAAAGCGGCUUCCUGGCACAUAACUGACGCUCAGACGCGAAAGCUAGGGGAGCGAACGGGAUUAGAUACCCCAGUAGUC